AUCACUUGGAGAUCUUGUUAAAAAGCAAAUUUUGAUUCAUUUGAUGCAAAAGUGGGGUUGGGGGUGGGGUGCAGGGGCUUAGAUUUUGCAUUUCUAACAACCUUCCAAGUGACGCCAA
rfam:Pan troglodytes isolate Yerkes chimp pedigree #C0471 (Clint) chromosome 3, whole genome shotgun sequence.